AUGGCUGAGCUCCACACCAAGAUAGCCUCCGCUACCCUCCCGGUGGUGGUGGGAGGGGAUUUCAACCUCCUCCACUCCGCCACUGAGAAGAGUAACUCGCGUGUCGACCUUACUAAGAUCCGGCGAUUUAACGAUUGGGUUGCUGACUUAGGCCUUCUGGAGCUUGAUAGGGUCGGGGCGCGAUUCACCUGGACUAAUAGACACAUUGCCCCUACCCUUAGUGUGCUUUACCGAGUAUUCAUAUCCCAUAACUGGGAACUUCGGUUCCCUUUGCCCUCUCUCCAGGCUAUUACACGCAUCGGGUCUGACCAUGUGCCCCUACUCUUGUCCUCCAGGGAUGAGAGACCCCAUCCCCCCCCUUGGUUUCGGUUUGAAGUGUUCUGGCUCCAACAGCCAGGCUUUGUGGCGGCCGUUCAGGCUCAUUGGGCUUUGGUGCUGAACGAGCCCCAUAGGAGGAUGUCUAUCCUGGAUGAGUGGCGUCACUUGUCUAAGCGAUCUAGGCAAUUCAUGAAGGGUUGGGGAGCCAAUAUAGGGAGGGACCUUCGGAUCCAGAAGGAAUCCCUCCUUGAGGAGAUCUGCUCCCUUGACCUUCGUGCGGACUUGGCAGGUAUCUCCGCAGAAGAGUGGGCUCAUAGAUAUAAUCUGGAAGACUCCCUCAUGGACAUCUACUCCAAAGAAGAGGAGUAUUGGCGCCAGCGAGGGUCUAUGAACUGGGUGCUGUUUGGCGAUGCCAACACUGACUACUUCCAGGCCAUCGCUAAUGGCCGUUGGCGACGGUGUUCCAUUCCCCUUUUAUGGGAAGGAGGCCAGCUUUUUCAGACCCCCCCUAGCGAUCCGUUCGCUGGUAGACGACUUUUACAAUCCCUUUUUACCGAGCGCCCUCGGGGUGGGAUCGUCCCGGCGGAUCACUUUUUGUCGCCUAACCAACAAAUCUCCCCUGAGGAGAAUGCGGUUCUCCUUGCUCCCUUUGAUGCCAUGGAUGUUGAGACUUUUGUCAAAGCAAUGAACCCAACCUCGGCCCCAGGCCCCGACGGCCUUCCGGUUCUCUUCUUCUAGGCAUUUUGGUCGAUGGUCAAGGAGAUCAUCCUUGACAUGUUCCUCGAGUUCUCUCGGGAAACAUUAGACGUUUCUCGACUCAACUACGGGAUCAUCUCCUUGAUCCCAAAGGUUCCUGGAGCGGCGGACAUUCGGCAGUUCCAACCUAUCACGGUCCUCAAUAUGCUGUUUUGGAUUCUGGCCAAAGGGUAUGCCACUAGGGCAGCCCUAAUCGCACCCCGAAUCCAUCAUCUGAACCAAACGGCCUUCACGAAAGGCCGAUAUAUCUUGGAUGGGAUCCUCGUUCUCCACAAGGUCAACCACGAAGUCAAGAGAAAAUGUCUUCGCGCGGUUUUCUUCAAGAUUGACUUCCAUAAAGCAUACGACACUGUACAUUGGUUCUUCCUUCGGGAGGUGAUGUUGAAGCGUGGUUUCGAUCACCAUUGGGUGGCUCGGGUGAUGCAUCUGGUUACGAGUGGACGCACGGCUGUCAAUAUAAAUGGGGAGGUCGGACCAUACUUCCAAACUAGCCAGGGGGUACGGCAAGGCGACCAUAUCUCCCCAUUUCUUUUCAAUCUUGUGGUCCAUGCUCUAGCUACGAUCCUAGACUUGGCUAAGCGGGCGGGCCACAUUAGGGGGGUUUGCCCCCAUCUUGUGGCCAAUGGUGGUCUGACCCACCUCCAAUAUGCGGACGACACCAUUAUGAUGGUGGAAGGCUCAGACAACAAUAUCUGA
rnacentral:rRNA from 1 species